rnacentral:tRNA from 1 species
UCGGGAAUGGUCGGGAUAGCUCAGCUGGUAGAGCAGAGGACUGAAA